GUCUAAGGCCAUGCCACCCUGAACAAGCCCAAUGUCUGAUCUCAGAAGCUAAGCAGGGUCGGGCCUGGUUAGUACUUGGAUGGGAGACCACUGAGAAAGACCAGGUGCUGGAGGCA
rnacentral:rRNA from 1 species